UGCACAGGUUUGAGAGCUGUGCUGAAGCCAACUAUUGGUCAGAAAAAACAAUGACAACUCAGCUUAAAUUCUGCCUAGUUGGAGCAGCAGGGGCCAUUAUCCACAGAAAUCCCCGCUCAUCCAAAUGGGAUUACCGCCGCCUGGUGGACGAACUGGAAACUGCAUAUGGCCCUUCUUCUGACCAUGCAGCUGCUGUUGCUGUAGAACUGAGGCAGCGAGUGCGUAAACCUGGUGAGGCCCUGCAUGUUUUCAGAGAUGACAUUUAUGGGAAAGUGGCUGUUGCAUUUGGUAAUAGAGCAGAGAUUGAACAAGACUCUAUAGCUGUUGAAGUUUUCACCAAUGGGCUGGGUAAUGCAGAAAUAGUACAGAAGUUGCUAGAGAGGGACCUAGCCACACUUGCCUGUGCAUACAAAAUAGCCCACCGACACGAAACCACUAAAAGGGCUGCAUCUUAUGUAACCAGUGCCAUGCAGCAAGGAGCCCGUAACGCAGCUGAACGCUGGCCCCGAGCUGCUGUCGUCAGAGAAAAAGACUGUUACACCCCGGCCUAGGCAACCGGGGUGCAACGUAGAAAAACAAAGAUAAGGAAAAUAAAAAUAAGGAAAAUAAAAAUAAGGUAAAAAAAACACACGAGAAAAAACUAAUACGGGUUUCCACAAAAAUCAUCCCAAAACGACCACUAUUUUCUUUAAAGCAAAAUGAUAUUUAUUUACAACGCAAGGCGCCAAACUAUUUACAACGGGGGGGGGAAAAAGAUCGCGACCAUGACAACUGACACACAGGGCUUAAAUACAUGGAGGGAACAAUCAGGGAAUGGACAACAGGAGGGAAACACAGCUGGGGCAAAUCAGAACUGACGAGACAGGGAAAAUGUAAACUGAACACACUAAGAUGACACAGACUUUCAAAGUAAAGUAGGAAACACAUAACAGUCACGCAAAAACAACACAUUACCAACGCCAAAUCGUCAAUCCCGGAGGAGCACCUAGACACUCAAAUCCACACACAAUUACGGUCACAGCCGUAACACCCCCUUACCCAAGAAUUAACAUUAACCCCAAAAUGUUUAAUUCAAGGAAACACCCAAAAAAAACAAACAUUUAAAACAUACAACCCCAACGAAAAAUGUUUGUUCCAUGUCCAGCCCAUACGGCACCGGCCACCGUCCCGCAGGCGACGCUGAUGACUGGACGGGUCCUCCAGUGGAAACGGAAAACCGGAGCGGGCCCUCGGAUCCUCCAGCGAAGACAAACGAAGCCGAUGAAGGCUGGAGCGGUCCCUCGGACACUCCAGCGAAGGCGGAUGAAGGCUGGAGCGGUCCCACGGACCCUCCAGCAGACGACGAAGGCUGGGGCGGUCCCUCGGAUCCUCCAGCGACGGCAAAUGAAGACUGAAGCGGUCCCACGGACCCUCCAGCGGAGGCAGAUGAAACCGAUGGAGGCUGGAGCGGUCCCCCUGACCCUCCAGCAGACGACGAAGGCUGAGGCGGUCCCUCGGACCCCCCAGCGAAGGCAAAUGAAGACUGAAGCGGUCCCACGGACCCUCCAGCGGAGGCAGAUGAAACUGAUGGAGGCCGGAGCGGUCCCCCCGACCCUCCAGCAGACGACGAAGGCUGAGGCGGUCCCUCGGACCCCCCAGCGAAGGCGGAUGAAGGCUGGAGCGGUCCCACGGACCCUCCAGCGACGGCGGACGGCUGAAGCGGUCCUCGGACCCCACAGUGAUUGGACGAGCCCCCAUAUGUUACACCCCGGCCUAGGCAACCGGGGUGCAACGUAGAAAAACAAAGAUAAGGAAAAUAAAAAUAAGGAAAAUAAAAAUAAGGUAAAAAAAACACACGAGAAAAAACUAAUACGGGUUUCCACAAAAAUCAUCCCAAAACGACCACUAUUUUCUUUAAAGCAAAAUGAUAUUUAUUUACAACGCAAGGCGCCAAACUAUUUACAACGGGGGGGGAAAAAGAUCGCGACCAUGACAACUGACACACAGGGCUUAAAUACAUGGAGGGAACAAUCAGGGAAUGGACAACAGGAGGGAAACACAGCUGGGGCAAAUCAGAACUGACGAGACAGGGAAAAUGUAAACUGAACACACUAAGAUGACACAGACUUUCAAAGUAAAGUAGGAAACACAUAACAGUCACGCAAAAACAACACAUUACCAACGCCAAAUCGUCAAUCCCGGAGGAGCACCUAGACACUCAAAUCCACACACAAUUACGGUCACAGCCGUAACAAGACAAAGAUGAGAAUGUUGCUGAGCAUGCACCUGCAGCUAGCCCCUCACCAAAUUGUUUUGUCCCACACAUACCCUCGACAACACCGAACAAUCACAGAAAUUUUAAAAGGAGUGGGGUUCGCUGCCAUAACUGUCAAGGUUGGGGCCAUGUCCAAAAGCAGUGCCCUUCCCCUCA
ensembl:lncRNA